UGAGUUCUCUCUCCCACUUUGACAGCCCUGAUUUUGCAACUGAGUGUAGAUAACUUUGAGCACUUCAGAAUCUCCUCCUACAGAGACAGUAGAAGUCUAAAACGGUGUAUUCAGUGACAUGCAUCCUGUAAGAAGCCAAAUUGGCUUUGAUGAGAAAUCCAGAAGAAAGAAUGUAUGAAAGAAAAAGAUGACAUCUAUGCAUAGCAAACAAAAUCUGAAGAUUAUUACAGUAAAAACAAAAGAAAGGCAAGAGAAUACUUACUAGUUAAAGAGAUAAGGUCUCACCAUGUUGUCCAGACUGGACUUGAACUCCUGGCUUCAAGCAAUCUGCCCACCUCCGCCUCCCAAAGUCCUGGGAUUUAUAGGCAUGAACCACCGCACCUGGCCUCCCCACCAUUUUAUUUUCUCCCGUGGCUUUCACAACCAGGAAUAAGAGAGGGAGGGGGAGCUCAGUGGUGAUUUUAUGCUAAGGAUUAUGGAUAACACCAUCCCCCCAUUUUACAAAUGAAGAAACUGGGGCUCAAAAAGCUUAAUUAAAUGUCUAAGGCCACUGAGGCAGCAAUUAAAGAGGAUGUGAAGCCAGUCUUCUUUGUCGUCUUCUGGAGCCUCUCCUUGAGGCUGACACACCUGAUCAUAGCCCCAUUAUCUUAAGAGUGUUAGCCAUAUCCAGUGGCCAGCACACUCUAGACACUUCUGUUAUUGUAGAGAGACCUGUUAGAGAUGGAUGCAAGAGAUUUUCCCUUUUUCAGCCUUGCCUCUGCUGUCUUGGGGAAGUGG
rnacentral:sRNA from 1 species